GCGUAAGCUUAGCGGUGCUUCGUGAGGGGAAAUGGCGGGAGGAGCGGCCUCCUCAAGGCCGUCGGGGCCUUCUCAGGGUGCCCGGGGAUGUCCGGACCGGGGGAGCCUGGUCCCUGCCCGUGGGGAGUGGGUGCUGUGCAGACCGAGGGGAGCGCUGUCCCAGUGCCUCCGUCAGGGCUCGGUCCUCACUGGGCUCAGUCCCACAGGUGGAGCUGCGUUCAUCUUCACCUUCCUCAGGCCGUCAUUCCUUCUCUGUCAGCCGCUGCCCAGCAGCUCUAUGGGCUCACGGGCCGUAUAUCUGCUCCGUGUUCUUCAACCUUCUCCUCAGUGGCGCAGCUCACGAUGCUGAGCUCCGCAGGAAGCGCUGCCCGUAUUGGAAAUAGAACUUUAAGAGCAGGGAGGCGGCCCUCGGUGACACAUCGGCUGUGAGGCUGCCGACAAGUGUGCGGGAGUUUGACAGCUGCGUGGCGGACAGGUACAGUGUCCACGUUAAACCUGCCUGGGAGGAACCACUGCUGUUUGGUUUCUGCAAACUGCUGACAUUCCAGCUCCGUGACCAGUUGUGUCAGUGGACUUGAUUGAGGCUGCAAAGGACAGGCUGUACAUGGGAAUGGCAGGAGCCAGCUGCUGGGAUGCUCAUAGUGUGCCAGGCUUGAGAAAUGCUCUAUGGAGAUGAUGCAAGAACAGACUGGGUUCUCUGCACAGGAAUGCCAUUUUGGGAUGAUGGAGAAUUAUUUGCAAGAGGAAUUUCUGAAGAAUCCCAUGUCCCUCAGAGGUACCAGUGGGGAGGACUGUCUAGACAGCUUGGGCUGCCAGUGAGGUAGUGUGUCUUGUGAUCAAAGCAGUGUCUGUACAGCUGAGCCCUGCAUCGCUUCCAGGUCCUUUGACUUCGGCUUGACGAGUGAUUCUGAAGAACCUGUUGGCUUUGCUGAGGGCAUCCAGACAGCUCAAAAGCAGUGAGAUCAUAGGGCUUUAUUAAAAUACACACAGCCCUCUUCUCCUCGCUACGCAGAAGUUGCAUCACCAUCUAUCCAACUUGUCAGUGAAAGAAGAGCUUGCAUCUGCUUGAUGUCUUUUGGAUCAAGUCAUCUGCCAGCCAAAGCAGUCUCUUCUUGCCUGCUUCCAAGAGGCAUGAGCUUAAACAACUGGUCUCAGAGUGGGGUGUAUCUACAGUCUUAGCUGCAAAGGAAAGUGAUUAUUCCUCCCUAGUAAUUCAGUUUCACAUAAGGAAAUUAUCACACACAGAGGCGUGCACCUUCCUCUGUUCUGUCAACACGUGCUGCUAGAAAGAUUUAUUUCAGUAAUAAGGUCCUUGCAGCGAAACUUAACGAAAAUGAGGGGGCAAGUUUAUUAAUUAUAUAUUUUCCAGUUAAUGAAACAUGAUAUUUAAAGGAAAUAAUUGCAGACAUCUCCCUUGAUGGCACAAUUCAUUUUCAGUAAUAAAUGGUUUGUGUUUCCUUUUGUUGAACUGAUCAGUUACAGAGACAAAUCCUGCCUUGUGCUAGGCCCCUCUUAUCUCUCUUUAUUUGCAGGAGAUGAAAUGUUCUCCUGUUCAGUGUAUGCGGAAGAGAUUGGAGCUGAGUUGCUAUCUUCGUAACAGCAAAACUACAGCGAGAUCUGAAUUCUUUGUUCAUGUUUCAUCGCCUGCUUUGAGGCAAGCAGUGGUGAUGAGAUCAGACAUCAGCCGUAGGGUGUUCCUCAUUACAAGGUCUCAGCAACACUGUGCCAGUCUGGGCAAGAAAUGUGCUUCCUCUUCUUCCACUGAGCAGGACACAGCUGAGCUGUCCAGCAGACAACUCAGUGCCUUCCUGCAGCUUUGCUACCAGUUUUUGAAGGUAAUGUGAUGACUUGCUGCUCCAAUGCUACAAACACUCAUCUUUCUGUGGAAAAAAAGUGCAGUCUUUGGAAGAUGCACUAUAACUUGUGGCUGAUUUAUUGCAUGAGAUUCUAAGUAAGGGAAGAGUGAAAACAGCAGGAGAGUGGCUUCUCUUCUCUUUUGGUCCCUGAUUUAAAUCGGUUGCUGGGGCAGCAUUCAUUCCUGGGAUAAGAGGGAAUCUUUUAGACUAAGGUUUCUGCAGUCUUUUAGGGGUAUCCACCACCUGUAUUUGAGUUUAGAGUUCGCAUUUAAAGCUGACCCACUCAUCUGAUAGUAUACCCAGGUGCCACGUUUACUGAUUUCUCUGCCACCAAGAAGCUCAACCACAAAUCUCCAGACAUCUGUCAUCACUGACAGAAGGGCACAGAUAUUAAAAUGGAAACCAUAAAGUUGAAUACAUCAAAGAUACAACCGGAGAAGAAAUACGAGAUCCCUCUGUUCGAGGCAUAACUCGUUCACAUUGACAAUUCAAAAUCAGCCAUAGCAGGAGGAUUUAAUGAUACCAUUGUUUAGAGAAAUUAGACAUGACACUAGCCAGUUACCUUCCAUUUUGGUUGGUUAGGAUUUGCUGUUGUUUGACACUCAUUAGAAAUCACAGUAACCUGCUUUCAGGGCAGUCAAAUUAAGGUUUCCUCUCUCUGUACAAGAUUACUCAUCACACCACAGCUACAUGAUAAUUGGAAAAUAACUGGUGAAUGAGUACACCUUACUGAAGCUGUCAUCUGAGCAUGUCAGUAAUGUUCCUGAGGUGAUCCUGAAAAGAAUUUGGUUGUACACACAGCACCUAAGAGAAAAUGGUUACAGGAAAUUAAUGCUACAAUAACUUAUCAGAUGCAAAAAUAAUUAUUAAUCCUUAAUCAUGCUGGUAAUUUCUUUACAGGAAUUCACCUGCCCUUUUGUUUCCUUUAGUGCCUCUGGCAUGAGAAUACAUGGUUUUCUACCUGAACCUCAGCCCCAGCUAUUCUUUGUUCUGAGAGCUGCAGUGCCUGCUGGGGAGUUUGAGAGGCUUUGCAGUGGUUGUGCUCACAUUAGCAAGCAGCAAUGUGCAGCGGGGGCAGAUCUGGGUAAUGCAGCAUUUGGUGCUGGUCUGCUAUGUGCAUUCUGGGGGGGACCCACUAGCUCUGAUGUGGCCCCAUGGCUCAGAACAUUCAGUAGCAACUGGGACAUGGUAGGUGAGUUUUUGGAGCACGUCUUGUCAUUUAGUUUUGUAUGAAAGGAAUCUAGUUCUGUGGCAUGGACCUACAUGCAGGAAGGUCAGGAAUUACUUCAGAAGGAAUGUCCUAGCCCUGAGUAAAACACAACCCCUUACAGAUGGAGAGGACUCUGGAGGAAGCCCAUCAGACCUGCAUCUUGUUGCUGGAAAUGGCUAAGGGAAGUUAAUCUGAACACGCACAACCUGUUUUGUUGUUUUUAUAACGUGUUUGCUCUGAGAUGCAUUUUAUUCCAGGGAAGCCCUGCUUUGCAAUCAGGAAGUUGCUUGUUCUGUGAUGAGCAUUGCUGCUGCCCCAGAGGGAGGGGAUGGCGCUGUCUGGAUGGACUUCAGAUCUACAGAAGGAACUUGCUGUUGGUACUCCACCCUAGAUCCAGUCUGCAACUGGAAAAGUUUCUUGAUUCACUGCAGACUUCGGAUUUAGGAGCCAAGAGAUGAUGUGCAUGUGGGGCAUGUCAGGCUGGUCCCAAGUGUAGUUCACCCCGCAGCUGUGACAAGCUUCUGGCCUCAUGUUGGCAGGGAGAUGUGCAGGUAAGGUGAGCAUUACCAGUUUAUUCUCUUCAAUGCAUUCUUUUUUUAAUUUUAAAUGGAAAAUACACUCCUUGUGUCACACUGCCCAACUCUGCGUGUUCCCUGCACAUUCAAACAGAAGAUGAAUUUUCACUUUUGACAGUUCAGCUUACAAAACCAAGAGAGUGAGAGAGAAGAAAGACCCUUCUGCAUCAGUGUGAUGACUGAUCACUUCUUUAUUUUUGCUCAGAUGCCUGGUCUGGAUUUGGAAUAGGAAAGUAAUAUACUGUUUCAUGGAGUUACGUGGGGAGGGGGCCCUGGAGGAGGAAUGCAGAGUGCUGUUAGACAGGGCUGGAGAGAUCAGACAGGCACCAGAGAACAAAAGCCGCCCCUGUUAGAGAUCUGGGAGCUGGUGCUGGAUGGAGCGGGGCCUCCUGCUGCUCGUUGCUCACUGUUGCUGUGGCCAGGCUGGCAUCACUGUGCAGGGAGAAAUGCAGGCAAAGUGCUAAUCUAUCGAAACAGAAGGACAGACUUAGCUUGAGAAGAUGAGCAUGCUGAGCUGGUUUCUGCUCUGUUACACCAUGAAACCUCACUGAUAUCUGUAGAGCUCCCCAGCUGUAUCUAGGAGCAGACAGGGGUUCUUUAUGCAUUUUCUCCAGAGCUGAACUGGUGAGGAUUUUGUGAGAACUGGAGAAAUUGAUACUGAGAUUUUCAGCUCUGCAGGAGGGAAUCUCUGUUUGCUUAAUUUGGGAAGAGACAGUCGUAUAACUUACAGGACAAAAAGCUUAAGCAGUGGGAGCAUCCCCCAGAGCACAGUGUAGAGCUGGAGGCAGCUAGCUAAAGUCUUUCAGGCUGCCUGAGUCUCCCUGCAAUGCUUCCUUCACUCCCUCAAAUACAGAGAAACACCCACUCCAAAUGUGUUGUGCAAGAACACAAUGGUGGGACCAGCUGGGCUUAAAAUAACCCCGUUUUGUCUUGCUGCCUUUAUAAUGUCUCCCAAAAGGCAAAUGAAAGAGUGGCUUCUGGAAAACAGCUAAUCCCGUGAUUUCACCUCGUUCUCUGCCAAGCGCUUCCAUUACUGAAUGACCUUCACUUCUGUUUCUGUUAGGUGUUCUCUCAAGGUGAGACUUCUAAUUUCAAGCUUUUUGCAGUUGUCUUAGAAAAGGCACCAUGGUAUCCAAAAGCCCUCUCCCACAGUUGCCCCACAAUUGCCUUCCCCCAUAUAAGCACCUAUAGCAGAAAUCAGAUCCCUUCUCAGCUACAUCUUUAGUGAGCCAACAGGCCCGUGCUCACACAGAAGCACACAGCACACAGCUCCUGGGUCAUUCUCUUCUCUUUGCCAGAAUCUCUUCUUUAUUAUCUCUUCCUUCUCAAAGGAUGGUACACAUACUGGACACAGCUUUGCAGCAGACAGUCACUGGAGCCAUGAACAAGAAGGAACGCUCCCUGCUGCUGUUUGUGACUGUCCUUUCAGUGGAGGGAUCAGAGUCGUCCUUUCAUGCAGCUUGUGCUUGUCCUCUAAAUUCUUUUCAAGGCAACAGCUUUCCGAGGCUGCAUCCUCUGUUCUCAUUGACAGAUUUUCUCCUUCAAGAGCAGAAGCAGAGAAGGAGCAAACCCUGGGAGCCCACCCGUUUCCUCAAAGCACCUCCAGGAACCUGCUCUGUAAGAUCCCAGCACAACUGUGAGAAAUAUCCUGAACAGAGUGAUGAAACUUCAGGUGGAGGAAAGCAACAGAAGCAGAUGGGCUUGUAAACAGCAGAGAGCUGGCAGCUCCACCGAGGGCCGUGCAGAGCAAGAGGGGAGCGGAACAGUUAGUAAACACCGAGCAACUUCCAUUUUCUAGGCAAUGUCAAUAGCUGAAACGUGUGAUAAUGUGGGGAGAGGACACAGGACGAGCAGCAGCGAUUGGAUUUUGGCACAGUCGGCUAUUCCCAGCAGAAGCUGUUCAUGUUAGAGCCUGUAGCAAAGUGCGGGAUAUGGGGAAGGGGGAUGUUUUCCAGCAACAAGGAAUUUGUGGGUGAAGGAAAGAUUUUCCCCAACCUUUCUGCGAUUAUCUUGGUGUCAUUCUUAUCUCCCCUUGAAUUGCUUUUGAAACUGUCAGUCCAUGAGAGCAGCGAGUAACUUCACUAAUAGGAAGAUAGGAAAUCCCCCCAAAUUACCUGAAGGCUCGCAGCCAGAUGGAGGCAAAAGAAACCCCAAUUGCCACCCCCACGAUUGGAACAAAAAGCCUCCCAUCCCCUGGGAGAAGCAGCAGCAGCCAGCUGGCCAGCAGCACGCCUGCCAUCCGAAUCAGCAUGUGCUGCUGUUUGUUUGGGACCUGCACAUGAGCUGGAAGGGCAGGGAAUACGAUCUGUGGGAUCCCUAAUAGCCAGGCCUGGGGAUUUCUCCUUCUCAGGAGCUGCUCGUUGCCACACGUGUUCCACCAUCACGGUGCUGGUGAGGCAAAGCAGGGCUCAUCAUCCUGUGCAGGGAUGUGGGCAGCUGCUCUGUGCACCCAGCCAUGCCCAUCCUGCAGGUGCACCCAAGGGACUGGCACCAGGGAAGUGAGAAGAGGAGCCCAGUGCUGACAGAUCCUGUCAUGGCCUGCAGGCCGGGUAACAACAAACCUCCCAUGCUGCCCCUAAGAAGCAGCACAUGAACUGUUUCCUGAAGGGAUGCAGAUCCCUGGCUGUAUAAAUCCUGGUUUUCCUUGUCUUUUACUCACCUUGUGCGUAAAAGAGCCUGGGAGUGCUGCAGACACACAGGCCUGUUCCCCUCCAAGAGGUCUGGGGUCUCCUUCUCCCUUUCCUUUUGUGCUUGGGCAGGACCCAUUUUCCUGCCAUUUCUAGCUGCCCUUUGCUUACCACUGAACCCUGGGGGAUUUGGUUGCUUAGCUUUAGAGCCAGGAAAUGAAUGAAGAAGGGCAGGAGAAGAAAGAAAACAGAAUAAGGAGGUUCACUUCCAUGGUUUAUUGGGUCCAGAGAGAUUUCUGUAAACCACAUGGUAUCAGGUGUAAAAGAAAUGAAAGAUGAUAACCAAUGUGGAAGAAUGGAGCAGCCCAAACCUCCCACAGCCCUGUGCGUCUCCAGAAAUGUUGGCGAGGCUUAACCAGCAAUUUAUGGUGUACCUGAUGUCCGAGAACAGCCCCUCCACCUCCUUCUUCUUGUCAAGAAGAGGUCCUGAUUCAUGUCACCUGAUUUUAUUUCCUCCAGCAGGAAGACUACCGCAGAUCCCAUGGAUUGCAACAGUCACAGAGAAAAGAGACCUAUGAAAGAUGGCUCCAGAUGUUUUACCUAAUAAAUCAAGGAGUCUCAUCAGAGGAUUGAAUCCAAAAGCUGUUACCAUGACUUCAAAGGCACAGAGCGGAGGAGAAAGAAGCAGCGCGGACAUUCUCUACAUGUCUGCAGUCACUGGUCGUGAAAAUAUACUCUGGUUCCAGGGAUUUUUCUGUGGGGAACCAAAACUCCACCGUGAUUCAAUAAAAUGGUGCUGUGCCCUCAGCCAACACAUUGAAAAGAAUCCAAGAGAAUGUGGGCUGGGUGGUUGGCACAAGUGGCAGUGGGUGACGUGGUGUGCUGCUGGCACAGAAGGGCUCUGCCAGCCCCAUCCUCCAUCAGCUCGCUCAGCCUUCAGUUUGCUCUGGUUUUUCAGAUCAAUUUGUGUCUGUGAGCACAACCUGACUGUGCUUGCUGCAGGUGGGCAUUGUGUUUGGGUUGUGCUUGAGGAUUCAGGUACAUCAAGUUGUCACCAUGGAGUGCCGGGGGAGGGCUAAGCUCACCCCUGUCUUGCAAUGGUAGCAGGUUAAGGGCAUGCAGAGGGCUCUUUCCACAAGGCAGGUGGAUGGUUGGGUCUCUGAGGGACCAGGACUGUGGCAUGUGGAGUGCUUUGAAAAUACUGCACAGCCCCCGGUAAACGCUGCCACUACACAGACCUGACCUGCUACAUGGAUCUUCCCCAGUCAUACCUCACGUGUCUCAGGUGGAGGGCUGUCAGACUGGGACAGGCCAGGUACAUAUCUCCUGUAUUGCAAUGAUGUGUUCAGACUGGACAAAAAAAAA